UUGGAGGGCAAGUCUGGUGCCAGCAGCCGCGGUAAUUCCAGCUCCAAUAGCGUAUAUUAAAGUUGUUGCAGUUAAAAAGCUCGUAGUUGAAUUUCGGGGUUAGUAGAUUGGUCAUGCCUCUGGUAUGUACUGGUCUUACUGAUUCCUCCUUCCUGAUGAACCGUAAUGCCAUUUAUUUGGUGUUGCGGGGAAUUUGGACUGUUACUUUGAAAAAAUUAGAGUGUUUAAAGCAAGCUAACGCUUGAAUACAUUAGCAUGGAAUAAUGAAAUAGGACGUUCGAUCCUAUUUUGUUGGUUUCUAGGAUUGACGUAAUGAUUAAUAGGGAUAGUUGGGGGCAUUAGUAUUCAAUUGUCAGAGGUGAAAUUCUUGGAUUCAUUGAAGACUAACUACUGCGAAAGCAUUUGCCAAGGAUGUUUUCAUUAAUCAAGAACGAAAGUUAGGGGAUCGAAGACGAUCAGAUACCGUCGUAGUCUUAACCAUAGACUAUGCCGACUAGGGAUCGGAUGAUGUUAAUUUUUUAAUGACUCAUUCGGCGCCUUACGGGAAAC
rnacentral:rRNA from 1 species